CAGGUGAUCAGGUAGAGAAUACCAAGGCGCUUGAGAGAACUUGGGUGAAGGAACUAGGCAAAAUGGUACCGUAACUUCGGGAGAAGGUACGCUCCUGCCGGUGAUCGGACUUGCUCCGUAAGCUAGUGGGAGUCGAAGUGACCAGGUGGCUGCAACUGUUUACUAAAAACAUAGCACUCUGCAAACUCGUGAGAGGAAGUAUAGGGUGUGACGCCUGCCCGGUGCCGGAAGGUUAAGUGAUGGGGUUAGCUUCGGCGAAGCUCUUGAUCGAAGCCCCGGUAAACGGCGGCCGUAACAAUAACGGUCCUAAGGUAGCGAAAUUCCUUGUCGGGUAAGUUCCGACCUGCACGAAUGGCGUAACGAUGGCCACGCUGUCUCCACCCGAGACUCAGUGAAAUUGAAAUUGCGGUUAAGAUGCCGUAUACCCGCGGCUAGACGGAAAGACCCCGUGAAC
rnacentral:rRNA from 1 species